rnacentral:rRNA from 1 species
CCUUGAAAUACCACCCUUUAAUGUUUGAUGUUCUAACGUUGGCCCCUGAUCGGGGUUGCGGACAGUGUCUGGUGGGUAGUUUGACUGGGGCGGUCUCCUCCUAAAGAGUAACGGAGGAGCACGAAGGUUGGCUAAUCCUGGUCGGACAUCAGGAGGUUAGUGCAAUGGCAUAAGCCAGCUUGACUGCGAGCGUGACGGCGCGAGCAGGUGCGAAAGCAGGUCAUAGUGAUCCGGUGGUUCUGAAUGGAAGGGCCAUCGCUCAACGGAUAAAAGGUACUCCGGGGAUAACAGGCUGAUACCGCCCAAGAGUUCAUAUCGACGGCGGUGUUUGGCACCUCGAUGUCGGCUCAUCACAUCCUGGGGCUGAAGUAGGUCCCAAGGGUAUGGCUGUUCGCCAUUUAAAGUGGUACGCGAGCUGGGUUUAGAACGUCGUGAGACAGUUCGGUCCCUAUCUGCCGUGGGCGCUGGAGAACUGAGGGGGGCUGCUCCUAGUACGAGAGGACCGGAGUGGACGCAUCACUGGUGUUCGGGUUGUCAUGCCAAUGGCACUGCCCGGUAGCUAAAUGCGGAAGAGAUAAGUGCUGAAAGCAUCUAAGCACGAAACUUGCCCCGAGAUGAGUUCUCCCUGAGACUUUAAGUCUCCUGAAG